rnacentral:rRNA from 1 species
UGCGUAGGCGGUUUGAUAAGUCAGGAGUGAAAGUUAUCUGCUUAACGGGGAAAUUGCUUUUGAUACUGUCAAGCUUGAAUCGGGUUGAGGUUAGCGGAAUGUGACAUGUAGCGGUGAAAUGCAUAGAUAUGUCAUAGAACACCAAUUGCGAAGGCAGCUAGCUAGGCUCAGAUUGACGCUGAGGCACGAAAGCGUGGGGAGCGAACAGGAUUAGAUACCCUGGUAGUCC